rnacentral:misc_RNA from 1 species
GAUGAAGAACGCAGCGAAAUGCGAUAAGUAGUGCGAAUUGCAGAAUUCAGUGAAUCAUCGAAUCUUUGAACGCACAUUGCGCCCUUUGGUAUUCCUUAGGGCAUGCCUGUUCGAGCGUCAUUUAAACCUUCAAGCUAAGCUUGGUGUUGGGUGACUGUCCGCUUCACGGCGGACUCGCCUCAAAAUUAUUGGCGGCCGGUACAUUGGCUUCGAGCGCAGCAGAAACGCGAACUCGGGCCCGUCGUAUUGGCUCCCAGAAGCUAUCUUCACAAUUUUGACCUCGGAUCAGGUAGGGAUACCCGCUGAACUUAAGCAUAUCAAUAAGCGGAGGA